CGGGGACUCGGUGCGGAGCCGGGGCGCCGAGUGUCUCCGUGUCCCUCUGCCCCAGCCGGCGGCCGCGAUGGUGGAGCUUGGCCUCUCGCUCUCUCCCGCCUCUCCAGCGACUGCUCUGCCGGCCGCGGAGGUCGGAUCGAGCGGUCAUUCAUUCAUUUGUUAAUUCGUUCACUUAUUCAGGGGAGAUCAUUGAACCCCUACGGAGUACCGGGUACUGGGCCGGGCGCUGAGGACGCGGGGCUGAGCAAAAGCAGCCGAGGCCCACCUUCGUGCCCCUUAAAACCCAGCGUGCGGGGCGGCAACGAGUACUGCUUUUCUGUUUUGCACUUAAAAUUUACAUUUUGCAUCCGUACUUUUUAUUUACUGUGCACCCUUACGGCAUGCUUUACGCACCCGUACCUGCACCUCCUAGCCUUGAGUGUAGACACCAGAUCCUGAGAUGGGCGAUUUUUCGAGAAUAAUUUUUACCCUAAGUGGAUUUUCGUGCCACGCAUGGACUUGGAACUACACACACGUAGUCCAAAACGUGAAAGUCAAAAUGCAGCUUUGCCAAGUGGCAGGGAGAAAGGAGAGCUGAGAAGAUGAGGAGAGGAAGGGCGCGCUCCAGGCUUUCCAGCCCGGGUGCGGUAGACGUAGCCCUGAAGGAUGAACCCAGGCUGGUAGUAGGGCGGCGGGAGGGCGGGGGGACCUGUCAGUCAAGUCCAAAGCAGAAACGCGGCGCCGGAUCCCAGUCAGAGGCCGGCUGGAACGCUUCCCACAGGCUCCUGGCGCUCCGGUCCCCACCAGGCGACCUUGAUCCUGGCGUGCUCAGCGGAGCCAGCGCAGCGUCGGGAGCUGGAGAGACGCGGGGCGCCGGCUGAGCGCUCCUGCCCUCUGCCUCUGGGCUAGCCUCUGGCCCGGCCUCCCGGCCUCCCCCAGGGUACGCUCUCCCCCAAGAGCGAACACCAGCUUUGGGAUCGCCAGCAGCCACGUCUCUGCUUCUAGAUCUCUUUUUUUUUUCUUUGAGACUUAGUUGAUAGCUGUUUAAGGAAUUAUGUGGAGGAAAUCUCACCUCCGACCCCCGCCCCCGUUGAGCACGGCCGGCCAGGGUCGCUGGGUGGGCCAGGAGGAAAGAAAGGGGCGGGGAAGAAGCAGCAAUUUUACUUUAAAUUAAAAUGACACAAAAAUAUUUUUUCAACUCAGAUCUUUCUGAGACAUCCCCAGAAAGCGUUGCAAGCUGUGAUUACACCUAAUGUGAGAGCAUGAACUAAUUUAAGAGGUGAGAGCUGCAUAAUGAGGCUGCCUCCCGUGUAGCAGCCAAGACUGGCAGCUCUGGCGGCGCGCUGGAGGGGACCGGGAGGGGCACCCUUGUAGAACCAGUCCCUGGCGCCCUGGGAUCUUCUCAGUGCCCUGGCGCUGUGUUGUCGGUCACUCCACAGAUAUUACAGGGUGCCUCCUGAAUGCCGGGUUGCAAUCAAGAGCAAGAGAUGGGGCGAGUGAAAGAGCCUGUUUUCAGGAGCUCAGCAUCAGGAUGACGAUUACCUAGAGGGAGGUGGUGGCCAGCCUCCCCCUCUUCUCUUCAUGCUGAGGCUCUGGUGGGCAGUGCCCAAGCCUGAACUGCCAUCUGUAUGCCAGUGGUUACCCAACUUGUAUUUUCAGUCUUAGCCUCUCUCUGGUCCAGACUUGUCAUUCUAAGGGCCCUUUUUCACUGACUCACAUUGUCUCCUCCCUCCCUGCCUUCCAAACUCAGCCUUUUCCUUUUUCCCUUUCCCACUGACAACAGCUGCACGACCCCCCCGCCCCCCCACGAGGUGAAAAUUCCCAAGAACCCCAUGUCUAACCUAACUCCCUCUCUAUGUCCUGUUGCUUGAGCCAUUCUCAUUAGGCUGCCUGUUCGGAGUUCAUUAUCUCCUAAUUUUUCAUCCAGGAAUUGAUGAAGAAUCACCUACUGCCUCUCCCACACACUGUUUAUUCUUUCAUUUGAUGAUAUCUGUUAAGUGCCCUGAGAUAUGUAACCUCCACUUCCCUCCCAUAUAAGUGAGAUUUCACGUUGAUUACUUCCUUGGCUUUCCUCAUCCCUUAUCCACAUAGCAUGUGUUCAAAAUAAUGAAUAUUAAUUUAAUGUUAAUAGAUAUGUGCUUUCCUGAAUUGUGAGGAUUAAAUGAAAUCAUGUAUAUAGGGAGGAAAAUCCAUUAGAAACCUCAAAAGCAGUUAUGUUUAUUUUUGCUAUUGUCACAUUGUUAGAGUCAGAAUUCUUUUAGCUGCAAGUGACAAAACCAACUCAAACUGGCUUAAGGACUUUAUUGGUUGAUGCAAAAAGCCUCGGGUUAGGUCUUGCCAUUUAAGGUAGGGCUGGAUCCAUCAAUCCGGGUUACCAGGAUCUGUUUUCUAGUUGUGGCUUCAUUUUCAGACAAGUUGUUUCCAUAUGAUAGCCUCAUAGAAGGUACUACCAGCUUAGUCCUAGCAAGAAAAAAGAGUACUUACUCUUCAAUAUUUGCAGCAGAAGUCCCAGGUCUGUUCUUAUGAGGGCAGUUUGAGUCACUUGCUCUUCUCUGAACGUGGAGAAGGCACUGUUUAGAUGAUGGAGGUUGGAUUCAGGUGCAUCCCCUGGAAUGGGGUUUGGCAUUAGCUUCACGUGGUCUAGAAUAAAGGGGUUCUCCAAAGGAAAAUUAGGGUAGGAAUGCUGAGUAAGCAGAACAAACAGAUGUCUACUUUAGUCCUUCCCAAAGGGUGAGCUGCAAUACAUUGCAGACUAUCAGAAUGGUGAUGAACACGGAUGCAGUAGCCAAGAAAAUAGAUGUGUGUUUGUCGUGGUCUUUUUCAGUCUUCAAGAUCUCAGUUAAACAUGAAGUCAACCACUCACUAUGAUGUUAUUUGAGGUUUAGCUUUGAAGUGGAAAUGUACCACAAAUAGUAGAGCCAGAUAAAUACAAAUAAAUAAUUUUAACAGUCCAUUCUAAAAGAUUUCUUUGGUAAUAUUCUGUUGGAAUUGAUUUCUAUCUUUUCAUUUGUUAGGUUCCUGGAAAGUGAAAAUUUCAUUUCUUUGUGGACAGCUCAGAGACCUAAUAGGAUGGGGUCUUAGAGAAACAUCUUUUGAGCCACAGACUUCUUUGUUACCAGAAGGAAAAUGAAAGAAGAAAUUUAAAUACCACUUGAAGAGAGCUGAUCGCCACCAACUGGCCUCUGGGUGGAUUUGGCCAAUGGAAGCACCUGUAGAGGGAAGAGAGUGAGGUUAGGAUAUUUCUUCCUGCUGUCUCCGUGCUUCCCUGCAGAGAGUGUGAAGAAAUGACCCUGAAAAGCCUCUGGCAGAGGAUUCUUCUUUCAGGAUGGUGUCGCCUCCUCAGCAGCCCAUCCUCCUCCCCUGGACUCAAGCUCUCAUUCCAGUAACACUCCUUCCUCCUUCUCCAUCUUCAGGGGGAGGUUUGCCAGUCGGUGGGUUCUAAGCAUAUCUCGCUGAUUCCCCCCAACCCUGCCGACACCUCUGUAGGUCGUCCCUUCAUUAAAAUCUCUCCAUUUGAACUAUCUGAGUUUAAUUCCAUUUCCUCCUGGUAUCUCAGUGAUACACGGUAUCAGUACAAAAAUCUCGCUUCACCUUCAGAACCAACAGAUUUGAGACAUUUUAUCCUCUGUGGAACCAUUAGUUAUUUUGUCAUUGGUUGUAUCAGAAAAAAAAAUCAGGAAUGCAAAUCCUUCUUUAUUACAGAUUCAGAUUUGCAUAUUACCAAUGUUAUAUAUUUUAAACAAAACUAUUCAUCAUAAGUUUUAAAAAUUAACUACUGGAGUAGUUAAUGAAUCUGAAUGUAAUUAUGUAGCUUUCAUAAUAUUAAAGUAAAAAUACUAAAAGAAGUAUUUCUUAAAGAAGCAAAUGCUCAAUCUCCAAGUAAAUUUUAUUCUAUGCUCUUCCGGUAUAAGAAUAUGUUAAUAUCUUGAAAAAUAUCAUAUUAUUUUGUGAACUCAUAAAGCUAUUUUGAGUUUUUGUAAAAUGAAAACCUUACCAAAAUGUAUUUUAUUGUUGGAAAGCUUGACCGUUACUGCUGUUUAAUUUUUUGAGCUUGUAAACUUUAUUUGUGCAUGUUUUCAACAAAGAAGGAUUUUAUUGUUAUUACAUAAAACAGGUGAUUUCUAGAUUUUAAAAUCACAAAUUGAAAGCAAGGCACAAUAAUAUAUAUUUCAAGAUAUAGGUACUUAGGAGGCAUCCUUUUAGUCAUCUGUUCAAUGUAGCCAUCUAUUUUACACCUACUGUCUACUAUUGUUUGAGGUCCUUGCCAAAGUAUUGCAGGCUAGUUAGGAAACAUAAAACAAUUAGAAAGUAAUCUAUGACAAGUAAGCUAUCUAUAAAUGGCAAUGAAGGGUAGAACAAAUUCAAUGAAAAUAUCUAUUUAAUCCUAGUGUUUACUGGUCUAGAAGAAUAGGCUGAGUAAAUUAGUAUUUCUCUGGCUGUUGUGGUAACACAUUGCAUGCUAUAACAGUUUUAAGUAAUUACAGGUGCAUUGAAAUUUAUCUAUGGCUUUGUCAUCAUAUUCUAAAAUGUCAUGAGUACUUUUUUCUGACCUCAAUUACUAUGAAAUUGGUUUCCAAUAUUUAAUUAACCAAGAAUAUCAAGUCUAUAGGGUAUUAUUAAGGUGAGACUUCUGUAGCCUUUUCAAUAAAGACCAGAAUUUUGGAGUGCCUUGAACCUUAAUCAUUGAUCUUUAAUUCUUAUUAAGUCAACUGCCCACCUUUUAAAGACUGAGGCCCAGGAAGAGUAAGUUUCUCUGAGACAAUGCAUACAGUACAGUGCUUCUUGGGUAUUGGCUCUAAGACCAGAUGCAAAGAAAGGCUAAAAUCCCAUUUCAUUGUUCAUUAGGUGAGAACCCUUUGUUAAGCUGUGUAACCUCUGUGCAUAGUUUCCUCAUCAGCAAAGUCAGAAAAAGUAUGUACCUGAAGGACUGAUUGUAAGGCUGGGAUGAGAGAAUCCAUGUGAUCAGCCCUCACCAACAGGUGCUGCCCAGUUCAUGAGUGCUGCUGCUGUCCUGCCCAAGUACCCAGCUUGCAGAGUGCCAGAGUUAGAGUCCCAGGGGUGUUCUCCACAGCUGCAUGCUUGAUCCAGGCCUAUCAGGUGAGUUGGCUCUUGGCUAGUGGUUUUUCUUCUCUUGCUGUACAAAAGUCCAGACAGUAAUGUCUUUUUUUCAUUUUUAUAGAUAUAUUCCAUUGAAAGUCCUCAUUCUCAAAUUUAAAACAAAGACUUUUUGUGUACCUCAAUAGCAAUGCACACACAGUUGGCUUCACAAACAUAUUGUACAUUUCUUUUUUUCAUAUUUAUUCAACAAAUGUAUAUUGACUACCCACCGUGUGACAGGUGUUAUUUGUUGACGGAACCAGGCAUCAUCAGCAAACAAAACUGACAAAGCUUCCUGCCCUCUGUGGAAGGCAUCUGAGGAAGAGACUGGAUUUUGUAGCAACAUGUUAUUCUCAUUAUAAACUUUAUCAUUGGAAUACUAAAGCCAAAUCAUCCCCCAUCUCCUUGAUCAGGAUACCCACUUAAUCUAGGCAGCUACACAAUUGUGAGAGCCUUUGUUUUUUUCUGCUGAAACAUCCUUAAAAAGAUACCUCACAACCCAAGAUUUGGCUUUUCUUAAAUACGAUUUUUAAUUUUUUUCAUUUCUAUCUAGAGAUUUAAUUGGAAAUGGAAAAUCAUCAAUUUUCCAAUUAAAUGUCUGUUCCAAUCAACAUUAUACCUUUUAGGUUGUCAUUGUCAUUUUUAAGUUUAAGCAACUUUAAGGAUUUUGAAUCUGGCUGCCUGUAAAUUAAAGGUGAAAGUAAUCA
rnacentral:lncRNA from 1 species